rnacentral:rRNA from 1 species
UUGUUAACCGGAGAUACUAUACGGAUUGGUGCCUUCGGGAACUGUGAGACAGGUGCUGCAUGGCUGUCGUCAGCUCGUGUUGUGAAAUGUUGGGUUAAGUCCCGCAACGAGCGCAACCCUUAUCCUUUGUUGCCAGCGGUCCGGCCGGGAACUCAAAGGAGACUGCCAGUGAUAAACUGGAGGAAGGUGGGGAGGACUUCAAGUCAUCAUGGCCCUUACGACCAGGGCUACACACGUGCUACAAUGGCGCAUACAAAGAGAAGCGACCUCGCGAGAGCAAGCGGACCUCUUAAAGUGCGUCGUAUUCCGGAUUGGAGUCUGCAACUCGACUCCGUGAAAUCGGAAUCGCUAGUAAUCGUGGAUCAAAAUGCCACCGUGGGUCAUGGGGAUUAGCGCUGCCCUCGGUGA